UUCUCUAAAAAUUAUUGAUUUUUCAAAUAACAACUUGACAAGCCAAAUUCCUUCCUCAUUAUGCAAUUUGAGUUCCCUUAUGGUUCUCUUUUUAUCGAACAAUAGUUUGGAUGGAACAAAUCCGGAAUGCAUUGGAAACUUGAGUUCUUCCCUUUCAUACCUUGAUCUACGGAUGAAUAAUUUUCAUGGUAAAAUACC